rnacentral:rRNA from 1 species
GAUGAACGCUGGCGGCGUGCCUAACACAUGCAAGUCGAGCGAACAGACGAGGAGUUUCCCCUUCUGACGUUAGCGGCGGACGGGUGAGUUACAUGUGGACAACUUAUCUAUAAGACUGGGAUCACUCCGGGAACCCGGUGCUACUACCUGCUAAUUUAUUGAACCGCCUGGUUCCCUACUGAACUACGGCUUUGCUGUCACUUGUUGAUGGAUUAGCGCCGCAUUAGCUAGUUGGUAUGGUAACGGCCUACCAAGGCGACGAUGAGUAGCCGACCUGAGAGGAUGAUCGGCCACACUGGAACUGAGACACGGUCCAGACUCCUACGGGAGGCAGCAGUAGGGAAUCUUCGACAAUGGGCGAAAGCCUGACGGAGCAACGCCGCGUGAGUGAUGAAGGUCUUCGGGUCGUAAAGCUCUGUUAUUAGGGAAGAACAAAUGUGUAAGAAACUAGGCGCGUCUUGACGGUACCUGAUCAGAAAGCCACGGCUAACUACGUG